rnacentral:rRNA from 1 species
AGAGUUUGAUUCUGGCUCAGAACGAACGCUGGCGGCAUGCCUAACACAUGCAAGUCGAACGAGAAAGAUCUUCGGAAUGAGUACAGUGGCGCACGGGUGAGUAAUACUUGGAUAAUCUGCCUUUAAGUUUGGGAUAACCCUUCGAAAGAAGAGCUAAUACCGGAGAGACCACAAUGACAUCAGUCGUAGGGGUUAAAGACGGGGACCGCAAGGCCUGUUGCUUGAAGAUGAGUCCAAGGAGUAUCAGUUAGUUGGUGGGGUAAUGGCCUACCAAGACUUCGACGCUUAGCUGGUCUGAGAGGAUGAUCGGCCACACUGGAACUGAGACACGGUCCAGACUCCUACGGGAGGCAGCAGUGGGGAAUUUUGCACAAUGGGCGAAAGCCUGAUGCAGCAAUGCCGCGUGAGUGAUGAAGGCCUUCGGGUCGUAAAUCUCUGUCGGACGGGAAAAAUGAAUCCAAACUAAUAUUUUGGAGAAGUGAUGGUACCGUCAAAGGAAGGGGCGGCUAACUCUGUGCCAGCAGCCGCGGUAAUACAGAGGCCCCGAGCGUUGUUCGGAUUUACUGGGCGUAAAGCGAAUGUAGGUGGCGACGUAAGUCAGAUGUGAAAGCCCUGGGCUUAACCUGGGAAGUGCAUUUGAUACUGCGUUGCUCGAGUGCGAGAGAGGAAAAUGGAAUUCCUAGUGUAGGGGUGAAAUCCGUAGAUAUUAGGAGGAAUACCGAUGGCGAAGGCAAUUUUCUGGCUCGCAACUGACACUGAGAUUCGAAAGCGUGGGUAGCAAACAGGAUUAGAUACCCUGGUAGUCCACGCCGUAAACGAUGGAUGCUUGUCGUUGGAGGAAUAAACCCUUUCAGUGACGAAGCUAACGCGUUAAGCAUCCCGCCUGGGGAGUACGGUCGCAAGAUUAAAACUCAAAGAAAUUGACGGGGACCCGCACAAGCAGUGGAGCAUGUGGUUUAAUUCGACGCAACGCGAAGAACCUUAUCCUAGUCUUGACAUCCUUUGACCGCCGGUGAAAGCCGGUUUCCCCGCAAGGGGCAAAGAGACAGGUGCUGCAUGGCUGUCGUCAGCUCGUGUCGUGAGAUGUUGGGUUAAGUCCCGUAACGAGCGCAACCCACGUCUCUUGUUGCCAUCAUUAAGUUGGGCACUCUAGAGAGACUGCCAGUGUGAAACUGGAGGAAGGUGUGGAUGACGUCAAGUCCUCAUGGCCCUUAUGACUAGGGCUACACACGUGCUACAAUGCACGGUACAAAGGGUCGCGAAACCGUGAGGUGGAGCAAAUCCCAAAAAACCGUGCUCAGUUCGGAUAGAAGUCUGCAACUCGACUUCUUGAAGCUGGAAUUGCUAGUAAUCGCAGAUCAGAACGCUGUGGUGAAUACGUUCCCGGGUCUUGUACACACCGCCCGUCACCCCACGAAAGUUGUUUGCACCAGAAGUCGCCGUGCUAACCGCAAGGGAGUAGGCGCCCAAGGUGUGAGCAAUGAUUGGGGUGAAGUCGUAACAAGGUA